GGAGAAGGAGAAGGCGGAGGGGAGACCUAUGCAAAGGAAAGCAGUCAAGACUCAAAGAUGGAGUUUUCAGAAGAUGAAGAGACACCAAUUGCUCGAAUGUAUAAUCUGAUUGGGAAGAGAUGGUCUCUAACUGCUGGAAGAAUUCCAGGAGGAACAGCAGAGGAGAUCGAGAAGUACUGGACCUCAAGAUACUCCAGGGGUAGUGAAUGAAGUAGAAUCGGAUUGUGGCUUUCCUGUAUCUCAGCAAGCAAUCGUUCUGCAAUUUUAGCGAUUUUGGGGGAAUUGCUUGGUUGAAGAAGACAAGAAGUGAAAGUAAAUCUUGGGGUUUGAUUGUGUUAUUGUCUGGCCUCCUCCUCUGAUCCACCUCCUCUCUCCUCUCCUCUCCUCUCCUCUCCUCUCCUAUCAAUUUUCUUCUUCUCUUUUGGGAUCUUUCCAGUUCUUUUCUAAGCUAACGUGGGUGUAAUUGUAUAUAUAUGUUUGACUUUACUUUGAAAAGUGAGGAUGAAAAUUUAUUGCAGACAAUAUUCCUAAACAAUUCCUCCAGUUCA